AGUACAUCUGCAGUACUGUCACUGAGCCACUUGUUAAGCUGCUAACCAUGCACUUAAUAAGCACUAGCUGCAAAAAAACUGACUAUUUCUCCUGAGCAAUGAGCAUUCCUUUAAUACUUCAGAGCGAGUGUCGGUUGAUUUAUUUACUUUAGGUGUGAUGAAUAACCAUAACAGUUUCCAGUAAAAAGGAGAGAAAAGGAACUGCUAGAUAUCCAAGGCAGGAUUUGUUCUCCAAUAUGAAGGCAAGGAAGGAAAUGGGCAGCUCUAGUUGUGUACUCCAUGAGUAAUCAUGAUCUCCAAGGGUUGGUUCGAAAGGAGAUAUCUGACAGGUGAUCUGAUCGACUGUAAGCCAAACAGUGAACAGCAUGGAAAAUACAAAUCAAGAAAAUUAAGCCAAGCUGCAAGAAUUGAACACAGGGACUUGGCUCGGCUUAGUUAAAAGCAUAUUUAAGAUUGAAAUUCUUCACACAUAUUCAUCAGUUGACUUUCAGACAAAGUGGUGCAGGUGGAAAACCUGGAAUCAUUUCAGCAUUAAUUGGAUAUCACAAUGAUUGGUCUUUAGGGCUGAUUUGGAAUGAAUGAGCUUAGAUUGGCAAAAUAGAAUUAUCGUUCGAUUGGCAGAAAUACUUACUGUUAUGCAGUCACCCACUUUCUCUGAAUCAGAUAUGCGAAAUUGACCAACAUGCAAACGGUUGGAAUGCUUGUAAAGGCUUUAGUGAAAUGUACAGAGUUUGUGACCUUGAUAAGACUGCUGAAGGAUCUUAUGUGCUUUCAGUUUUCCCACAGAGAACCCACCUGCUGUGUGGAUCUAUAGGUACCAUCCAAAAAUCAAGAGAUUGACACAACAACAGGCAAAAGUACAGUCCAGAGGGUCAACAUUGGCAGACUUUCAGCUGGUCUGGAAAAUUUCAAUUAUCCUACAGCCUGGUUUGUUAGAUGCAUAUGCUGUAACAAAUGUGCAAUACUCCAAAGAUUUGGGGAAACAAACAAAUGUACAAGAGUGUAUAAUACAUGACUUUACGAUUGUGACCUUUAAGUGUGUUUUGUUUCAGGCGUGUUCAUUGAAAUAGACUCCUAAAAGUCUUAUUGGUUUUAUAAUUAAAGUUUUUUGGUA